rnacentral:rRNA from 1 species
ACGGAAGGCAGCAGUGGGGAAUAUUGGGCAAUGGGGGAAACCCUGACCCAGCAACGCCGCGUGAAGGAAGAAGGCCUUCGGGUUGUAAACUUCUUUUACCAGGGACGAAGAACGUGACGGUACCUGGAGAAAAAGCAACGGCUAACUACGUGCCAGCAGCCGCGGUAAUACGUAGGUUGCAAGCGCUGUCCGGAUUUACUGGUUGUAAAGGGCGUGUAGGCGGAGCUGCAAGUCAGAUGUGAAAUCCCGGGGCUCAACCCCGGAACUGCAUUUGAAACUGUAGCCCUUGAGUAUCGGAGAGGCAAGCGGAAUUCCUAGUGUAGCGGUGAAAUGCGUAGAUAUAUGGAAGAACACCAGUGGCGAAGGCGGCUUUCUGGACUGUUACUGACACUGAGGCACGAAAGUGUGGGGAGCAAACAGGAUUAGAUACCCUGGUA